UGCAACCACAUCACAUUGAAACACUAGUUCCCAUACGAUCACCAAAGUUAAGCAACAUCAAUCCUGGUCAGUACCUUAAUGGAUGACUGCUUGGGAAUACUAGCUGCUGUAAG